UAGGGAAUCUUCCGCAAUGGACGCAAGUCUGACGGAGCAACGCCGCGUGAGUGAAGAAGGAUUUCGGUUCGUAAAACUCUGUUGUUAGAGAAGAACAGCGCAUAGAGUAACUGUUAUGCGUGUGACGGUAUCUAACCAGAAAGCCACGGCUAACUACGUGCCAGCAGCCGCGGUAAUACGUAGGUGGCAAGCGUUGUCCGGAUUUAUUGGGCGUAAAGCGAGCGCAGGCGGUUAGAAAAGUCUGAAGUGAAAGGCAGUGGCUCAACCAUUGUAGGCUUUGGAAACUGUUUAACUUGAGUGCAGAAGGGGAGAGUGGAAUUCCAGGUGUAGCGGUGAAAUGCGUAGAUAUAUGGAGGAACACCGGUGGCGAAAGCGGCUCUCUGGUCUGUAACUGACGAUGAGGCUCGAAAGCGUGGGGAGCGAACAGG
rnacentral:rRNA from 1 species